rnacentral:rRNA from 1 species
UGCGGCGGCCAUGGCCCAGGUGAGACGCCCGGUUCCAUUCCGAACCCGGAAGCUAAGCCUGGCACGGCGAUGGUACUGCACCCGACAGGGUGUGGGAGAGUAGCACGCCGCCGCAC